CACAGUGAAGCCAAGUGGAGGCACAUCAGUAUGGGCUGAGAGAGUCCAAUUGGAUAUAAAGUGUGAAAUCCAGGUGCAGAGAUCUGAAUUCUCUGAUUCUUUCCCUCAGUUGCCUAGUUUGCAGCUCCUGUUAUGAGCUAGGCCGAUCCAAAUACCAGAAGACAAGAAUUUAUCCAAGACCUUGGGAUACUACCUGCCAAGAAGAACUCAAAGAAGUUCUCCAGGUCCAGAGUUCGCAUGUGCCUUGCACUUGAGGAAGGAACUUCCUCCUGACUGCUUCGUCUUUUGGUCUGCCAUACUGAAAUAUGAAAAAUGGAUGAAGUAUACAAGAUCUCUUCUACCGAGAAGGUCCAGCAGCUGGAAAGAGAACUAGCAGCACAGCUGGCAGAGCUGAAGGCAGAAAUAGAAGACAAUGGGGUGCUCCAGGGAACACCGAGUAGGGCAUACAGGUAACAAGGAUUUCUUGGGGAGUGAGGAAGAGUCAGAUUAUAGCAGUGUAUUGUAUUCUGUGGUGUUUUUUUUUCCCCAUGAUACAAAUGUCAUGUGUCUAUGUAACUGUUCAACAGAGACCUGAAUACACAAGUGGGAGCCAGGAAUAACAGCUUUUUUUAUUGCACAUCUGCCACAGAACUACUGUUGAAAUGAGAGUGAAUACCUACAUAUUAAAAAAAACCAAAAACCCUAAAGCUGUUUUAUGUUGUGUACCGCAAACAUAACUUUAAAUCUCUCAAUAAUGUCAAGUAUUUCCUUCUUACACUGAAGAGGAAGUAGCUUCAAACAUAAUACCAGGGUGUAUAAACAGGACAGCCACAUGUAAGACAGCUGCUCUUACUUUCCUCAGCAGCAGUGAGAUGUCAGCUAUGGCAAUGUACCCAGUUUUGGCAUUUUGCUUCACGAAGGCUGUAGACCACCUGCAGAAUAUCUGGAGGAAAACAGAGUUCAGUAAGACUUGAGUAGGAGACUUGAAAAGGUGAAAGGAGCUGGGCUUAUGUCUCCACUCCCGUUUUCUCUAGAUUAUAAGUCUUCAAACAUAUGGGAGGUUGCUGUGAAGAGGGAGGGAAUAAACUUCUCUCAGUGUCCACUUAUGAAUAGGACAGAAAAUAACAGGCAAAAGUUCAAACUGAGAACAACUUUUCAAGACAGUAUUAAUUAAACACUGAUAUUUUGUCUAGUCUGGGAGGUUGUUGAC